rnacentral:rRNA from 1 species
CCGAAUUCGUCCCACUACAGAGUUUGAUCCUGGCUCAGAAUGAACGCUNGGCGGCGUGCUUAACACAUGCAAGUCGUGGGCGAAAGGAGGCUUCGGCCUCUGGGAAGGGGGGAAAGGGGGAAAUAACCCGGGGGUUAUCCGGCCGGGGAGCGGGGAAUAACCUGGGGAAACUCGGGCUAAUACCGCAUACGUUGUCGGGACUUUGGUUCUGACCAGAAAGCUGGCCUCUAUUUAUAAGCUAGCGCUCCUAGAGGAGCCCGCGGCUGAUUAGCUAGUUGGUGGGGUAAUGGCCUACCAAGGCGACGAUCAGUAGCCGGCCUGAGAGGGUGAUCGGCCACACUGGGACUGAGACACGGCCCAGACUCCUACGGGAGGCAGCAGUGGGGAAUAUUGGACAAUGGGCGCAAGCCUGAUCCAGCAACGCCGCGUGGAGGAUGAAGGUCUUCGGAUCGUAAACUCCUGUCAGGCGGGACGAAGGUACGUGGGCAAAUAGUCUUCGUGCUUGACGGUACCGUCAGAGGAAGCCCCGGCUAACUCCGUGCCAGCAGCCGCGGUAAUACGGAGGGGGCGAGCGUUAUUUGGAAUUAUUGGGCGUAAAGGGCGCGUAGGCGGCCCGGUAAGUCAAAGGUGAAAUCCCUCGGCUCAACUGAGGAACUGCCUUUGAAACUGUCGGGCUUGAGGCCGGGAGGGGGUAGCGGAAUUCCCAGUGUAGCGGUGAAAUGCGUAGAUACUGGGAGGAACACCAGUGGCGAAGGCGGCUACCUGGACCGGUUCUGACGCUGAUGCGCGAAGGCGUGGGUAACAAAAAGGAUUAGAUACCCUGUUAGUCCACGCUGGUAACGAUGGGUGGUCGGUGGCCGGGGGAUCGACCCCCUGGGGUGCCUUUACCUAACGGGUUAAACACCCCGCCUGGGGGAGGCCGGGGCCAGGGGUGAAAACCCCAAGAGAAUUGGGGGGGG